AGAGAAGGUUACAAGAGCGGACGGCGGAUGCCUAGGCUUCUGGAGGCGAUGAAGGACGUGGUAAGCUGCGUUAAGCACCGGGGAACUGCAAACAGGUAUUGAUCCGGUGAUAUCCGAAUGGGGCAACC
rnacentral:rRNA from 1 species